rnacentral:lncRNA from 1 species
UGGAAGUGCCUUUGGAACCGGUGGAGGUUUGUAUACUGGAACAGGUGGUAAAACUGGAUGUUCAACCUUUGGUGGUGGACAUGGUUUCUUGACCGGAACCGGUGGUGGUUGUGGCUUUGGAACUGGAGGAGGUUUGUAUACUGGAGCAGGUGGUAGAACUGGAUGUUCAACCUUUGGUGGUGGACAUGGUUUCUUGACUGGAACAGGAGGAGGAAGAGGUUUAUGAUAUACAGGCGUAGGUGGAGGGAGAGGUUUAUGAUAAACAGGCACAGGUGGAGGAAGAGGUUUCUCAUACACAGGUGUAGGUGGAGGGAGAGGUUUAUGGUAAACAGGCACAGGCGGAGGAAGAGGUUUCUCGUAGACAGGUGUAGGUGGAGGAAGAGGUUUCUCAUAAACAGGUGUAGGAGGAGGGAUAGGUUUUUCAUAGAUAGGCACAGGUGGAGGACAAG